rnacentral:lncRNA from 1 species
AUGUUUUUCGAGUUGAGCACCUGUCCUCUAAGUUAUCAUUUGGUUUGGGAAUAAUCAAAAAGUGGCUAUUUCAGGGAUAGGUAUAAAUUGAGGUAUAAGCGGGGAUUAGAUCAAUUUUGCGCUUGCAUGAAAAUUGGGUUAUUUCUGAGAAUAAAAAAAUAGCGUUUGGUUAGAUAAGAUGGAAUAAGAAUGAUAGUGGAUUUUAUAAAUAAAAAGUACUUAUAUUAUCCUCUUAUUAUAUUUGAAUUUGAAUUUUUAAAAUUUUAAAUUUAUAUUUUUAAAUUUAAAAUUUUAACUUUGAAAUUUUAAAAUUUGAAAUUUAAAAUCUCAAAUUUUAAAUUCAAAAUUUUAAAUUUUAAAAUUCAAACUUUAAAUUUAAGAUCAAAUUUAAAUUUGAAAAAUAUAAAAUAUAAAAUUUAAAAUUUUAAAAAUUUAAAAUAUCAAAAUUUAAAGUUUAAAAUUUAAAAUUAUAAACUUUAAUUUUGAGAUUAUAAAUUAUAAAUUUUAAACACCAUUUUAAUUUUUAAUUUCUAAAAUUGCAAAAUAAAAUAAGGGGAACAAUUAAUAAAAUAAUUAUUAUAAUAAAUUUAUAAUUUUUUUUAAAUCUACUUAAAUUUAAUAAAAAGAAUUUAUUAUAAUAUUUAAAUAUAAUUUAUUAAAAAUUUUAUUAUAAUACUUAAAUAUAAAUAAUAUGUAUUAAUAUAGUACAAUUAAUAAUUUUAUAAUAAAAAUAAUGUAUUAUAAUAUAUAACAUAUAUUAUUUAUUUAAUUUAGUUUUAAUUCAAUUUAUAAUUUUAAUUAAGUUUGAAAUUAAGCAUUGGAAUAGCACUAUUCCAUCAAAAUGGUGGAAUAGCAAAUUUCUUGCUAUUCCGGGAUAAUCGGGAAUAGAAAGGUUUGACCGGAAUAAAAUAUUCCAGCCAAAUUUCAUCCCGUUUAGCGGAAUAGCGGAGAUAAAUUUCGCUAUCCCCGCUUAUCCCUCGAACCAAACGGGACCUAAAAAUACAGAAGCUCAAGAUGCUUAUUACUUUUUAACCACCGAAUCGACUCAAAAUUUGUGCAGUAUAAAAUAAAUGA